GGCCGGGCCAGGGCGCACGCGCGCCGCCGCCGCCGCCGGGCGCGUUCUGAGUCUGGGCGGGGCCGGUGGUCGCGCAGGCGCGCGCCUACCCGGUGGGGAGUGACGCGGAGGCUCCCCUGGGAUCCCGGUCACCAAAACUCCCGCAGGCCUUUCCCCGGGGAGACUGGGGGCCUGUUACCAGCAGUCGCCGCCCAGCCUUGACUGCCUGGGUGAAUCAGGUGCUAAUCAGAGCCUUGGGCUUGGCAGCUCCCCUGUCUGGGUUUUCUGAGUGCGCCCGAUUUAGGCUGGGUGGGGGGAUUCCUACGGCCCUGCCCCACCCACGAAGACCGAGAAGGCUCACCCGGUGGCGAAAGGUGGGCUCGGUGACUCAUCUCUGAGAUGACCUCACCUCCCGACCCCAGCGGAGCAGAUGUCCGGAUUUGAGACCUCAUACCGUGACUUUGGACGGCUAGUGCGUUCCCUUCUUCAGAUUAUAAACUGGCUCGAGUAGGUGCAUGGGUGUGUUGAUUCAAGUGCUUCUGGAAAGCCCCUUCCCUUGCUAAGCACCACGGUCAUGUCCACAUCGUGUUUCUGCCUGGAGUGGAAUACUCUCUAACACAACUGUUGUUGGAACGUAUGGAAUGACGCGUUUCCCUCAGGACUGGACAUAACAAGGGCAGCCCUAGACUGUGCUCUUGCUUAUGAGCCAAAACUGACAGGUACCAUUCUCAAGACAGGACUGGACGUACAGAAACUGCAGGUAAAUAAAAGCGGCAUGCAACAUACAGGUUUGGGAAACAUUCAGCCUGUGAAGAGAAAGCUCUUUUCCUUUUUCUUGAGGGAAAUGUGGCCUUAAGAGAUAGAAGUUUAUCAUGAGCUAAAUCAGCAAAUCACAUCCGGUGCAUAUUGAAGAAAACUGAGUCGCAGAACUCGAAGGGCCUUUGGAGCCGUCAGAUUGUAGUCUAAGCUGCUGGACGACUGAGGCACCAGAAUGAACAGUGGUUUCCUAGGGCCACACAGAUGAGCAGUAGCAGAGCACACCUGCUGUCUCAGGCUUUCCCUUGUUAUCCGGCCCGUCCUCAGAUACUCACACACCUUCCCCCCAGCCAGUGACCAGAAGGGCAACUCACCACAGCCUAGCCCUUCAGCCCUGCUCCCAGUCCAAGCUCAUCUAGUUUGGGGCCAGUACUUAUGAUACAGUGAUGUCCUGAACACCCACCC
ensembl:lncRNA